UCAGAGAUGAGCCGGUUAUCCGAAAAGCCGGAAUAUUCCGUUCGGUUUAAACCAAACCGAAUAUUCCGGUUCGGUUCAAACCGAACCGAAAACUCCGGUUUUCCCGUAAAACAAUAUGAAAUUAACCCAGGCUCGUCAAAAUUGAUUGAUUUGAAUAUAAACUCACUGAAAAUAAGUAAACGGAGCAA